rnacentral:rRNA from 1 species
ACUACGAGUUUGAUCAUGGCUCAGGAUGAACGCUAGCGGCAGGCUUAAUACAUGCAAGUCGAGGGGCAGCACGAAUAGCAAUAUUUGGUGGCGACCGGCGCACGGGUGCGUAACACGUAUACAACCUACCUAUAACAGGGGGAUAGCCUUUCGAAAGAGAGAUUAAUACCCCGUAAUAAAUUGAGUGGCAUCACUUGAUUUUGAAAGCUACGGCGGUUAUAGAUGGGUAUGCGUCUGAUUAGCUAGUUGGUGAGGUAACGGCUCACCCAAGGCGACGAUCAGUAGGGGAUCUGAGAGGAUAACCCCCCACACUGGUACUGAGACACGGACCCGACUCCUACGGGAGGCAGCAGUAAGGAAUAUUGGUCAAUGGAGGGAACUCUGAACCAGCCAUGCCGCGUGAAGGAUGACGGCCCUCUGGGUUGUAAACUUCUUUGGAUGGGGCGAAAAACGGGAUUUAUCCUGGACUGACGGUACCAUCAGAAUAAGCACCGGCUAACUCCGUG